CUCUGCCUGAAUUCGCAGUGCCAUCGUCAGCAGCGGAGCCGUACCAGUCGAAGCAAGCCGCAGAAAAAGCCAAGCGGAUUCGUGCUGUGGAGUUGACUGUUGACUGACGAUUGCUGGUGGUGGUACCGUGCCCAUGUUCUCUCGAUAAAUAAUGACGAAUGCGUACACCUUCGAUGGCCUGGUGGUGUUUGGACUCUUGGUGAUUUGCACCUGCGCUUAUAUGCGCAGAGUUCCCCGGCUGAAGCAGUGGUUUCUUUCUGAGAAGAAGGGAUUUUGGGGAGUAUUUUACAAAGCAUCAGUUAUAGGUACACGACUGCACUUCUUCGUCUCUGUGAGCUGUGUCCUGGCUGGCUGUUACCUGCUUUUCAUUAAGUGAUU